UGAAUACGAGACGCUAAGGCGUCGAAGUAGUGUAUAUCAGACUUCCAAGAGAAGCUUGCAUUGUCAUAGAUAAAAAAUGCCUGUACCAUAACCGACACAGGUGGGUAGGUAGAGUAUACUAAGGGGCGCGAGAUAACUCUCUCUAAGGAACUCGGCAAAAUAACUCCCUAACUUCGGGAGGAGGAGUGCCUUAUUUAUAAGGUUGCAAUAACAAGAUCCAAGCAACUGUUUAUCAAAAACACAGGUCUCCGCUAAGUCGUAAGACGAUGUAUGGGGGCUGACGCCUGCCCAGUGCCAGAAGGUUAAAGAAGUUGGUUAGCAAUUGCGAAGCUGAUAACUGAAGCCCUGGUGAACGGCGGCCGUAACCAUAACGGUCCUAAGGUAGCGAAAUUCCUUGUCGGGUAAGUUCCGACCCGCACGAAAGGCGUAAUGAUUUGGAUACUGUCUCGGAGAGGGGCUCGGUGAAAUAGACUUGUCUGUGAAGAUGCGGACUACCUGCACCAGGACAGAAAGACCCUAUGAAGCUUUACUGUAACUUGAAAUUGAAAUUGGACUUUAUUCGCGCAGCAUAGGUGGGAGGCGUUGAUUAUAAUCUUGCGGGAUUAUUGGAGCCAUCAGUGAGAUACCACUCUUGUAAUGUUAGAUUUCUAACUUUGAAUCAUUAUCUGGUCAGAGAACAGUUUCAGGCGGGCAGUUUGACUGGGGCGGUCGCCCCCUAAAUGGUAACGGAGGCGUACAAAGGUUUCCUCUGAACGGUUAGAAAUCGUAUCUAGAGUGUAAAGGCAUAAGGAAGCUUGACUGUGAGACCUACAAGUCGAGCAGGGACGAAAGUCGGUCUUAGUGAUCUGACGGUACUGAGUGGAAAGGCCGUCACUCAACGGAUAAAAGUUACUCUAAGGAUAACAGGCUGAUCUCCCCCAAGAGUUCACAUCGACGGGGAGGUUUGGCACCUCGAUGUCGGCUCAUCGCAUCCUGGGGCGGUAGUACGUCCCAAGGGUUGGGCUGUUCGCCCAUGAAAGCGGUACGCGAGCUGGGUUCAGAACGUCGUGAGACAGUUCGGUCCAUAUCCGGUGUAGGCGUUAGAAUAUUGAGAGGAGCCUUCUUUAGUACGAGAGGACCGAGAAGGACAUACCUCUGGUGUACCAGUUAUCGUGCCAACGGUAAACGCUGGGUAGCUAUGUAUGGAGUGGGUAACCGCUGAAAGCACCUAAGUGGGAAGCCCACCUCAAGAUAAG
rnacentral:rRNA from 1 species